rnacentral:rRNA from 1 species
AGAUUGAACGCUGGCGGCAUGCUUUACACAUGCAAGUCGAGCGGCAGCGCGGGGGCAACCCUGGCGGCGAGCGGCGAACGGGUGAGGAAUACAUCGGAACGUACCCCGGAGUGGGGGAUAACGCCGCGAAAGCGGCGCUAAUACCGCAUAUGCUCUGAGGAGGAAAGUGGGGGCUUCGCAAGAACCUCACGCUCUGGGAGCGGCCGAUGUCCGAUUAGCUAGUUGGUGGGUAAUGGCCCACCAAGGCGACGAUCGGUAGCUGGUCUGAGAGGAUGAUCAGCCACACUGGGACUGAGACACGGCCCAGACUCCUACGGGAGGCAGCAGUGGGAAUUUUGGACAAGUGGGGGCAACCCUGAUCCAGCCAUGCCGCGUGGCGGGAAGAAGGCCGUUCGGUUACGUAAACCGUACGUUUAGUUACGGAAAGGUAAAACGGUUAACCCCGUAACGUACGGUAGACUCUUGUACGGUACCGGCGGAAUAAGCGACCGACGUAACUACGU